rnacentral:rRNA from 1 species
AGUGAACGCUGGCGGUAGGCCUAACACAUGCAAGUCGAACGGCAGCACAGUAAGAGCUUGCUCUUACGGGUGGCGAGUGGCGGACGGGUGAGGAAUACAUCGGAAUCUACUUUUUCGUGGGGAUAACGUAGGGAAACUUACGCUAAUACCGCAUACGACCUACGGGUGAAAGCAGGUGAUCUUCGGACCUUGCGCGAUUGAAUGAGCCGAUGUCGGAUUAGCUAGUUGGCGGGGUAAAGGCCCACCAAGGCGACGAGCCGUAGCUGGUCUGAGAGGAUGAGCAGCCACACUGGAACUGAGACACGGUCCCGACUCCUCCGGGAGGCAGCAGUGGGGAAUAUUGGACAAUGGGCGCAAGCCUGAUCCAGCCAUACCGCGUGGGUGAAGAAGGCCUUCGGGUUGUAAAGCCCUUUUGUUGGGAAAGAAAAGCAGCAGGUUAAUACCCCGCUGUUCUGACGGUACCCAAAGAAUAAGCACCGGCUAACUUCGUG